rnacentral:lncRNA from 1 species
CAGGAUCAGAUUUCCAAAGACUAUCUCUUAUUUGGGAUGUGUCACAGUUUCCAAGAGCGUUAAAUGGACUCCGAAUAGUGGUUACACCCCAAAUACAUUCCAGAAUUAGAUUAUAGUGCAGUAUGGAAGGGCCAACCCUAAAAUGUUCAAGUUCAAAGGGAACUCAAGGUCUCAAAGAAAGGCUCAUAGGAGGGGGAAGAACUUAGAGUCUAAGAGUAAGUGAAAGUGCAUAGAGUGGAGUUAGGGAAGGCCAUGGGAGGCUGGUUGUCAUGCCCCGCAAUUAAGAGUGCUGGCACACCCCUGACCAGUCUGUUAGAAAAAUCUUAUGAGUUAGGAUCCAUUGAGGAUUAGGUUAAGACCUCGGCAGUAAAUUGAAUACUGUCAGGCCAUAAAUCUCAACUCAAACAUAUAGAAAGGAGUAGGGGUAGGGAUUCACAAUAGGAACAUGCAAGGAAAGAACAUGCAUAGUCAAUACAUCACAUAUACAACAAUGUAGACUAGAGCAAGACAACUGUAAAGUAAACAGUUUGAGAGAAAGCUGAAAUCAAAACUGAGACAUACUAGUUUCAGUGAAACUAAUAAGUAAAAUAGUAGUCUGGAAAAGCCAAUUUGCAGGCAAACAAUACAAAUAAAUCAGAGGAGAGUAUAGUGUUGAAAGAGUAUUCUAAUUGAUAGUGUGAGAAUAUUCAAUCUGAAGUGUUCAAUAAUUCAUAUAUGUAAAGAAAGGUCAUGCCCCUUUUAUAGUGCAGAAAACGAGUAAGAAAAGGUAAGGAAAUAACAUUGAAAUCAAUCCCCAUUUAAUUAAGGGACUCUGAUUUCAAACGGCUAAAGACAAUUAAGGGAAGAAUUAAUUAGAAUAUUCUCUCCAACGGUGCCAUAAAUGGUAAAUACAUAGAAGUUAUUUAAGGCAAAAGCCCAAGUGUACUUGGUUUGUGAAAAUUAAGGAAAGGGAAUCAAUCAGACAUCUAGUAAAAUCAAAGCUAUAGGUUUUUAAUCGAAUGAACCUAGUCAGAAAAAGGUGAAGAAGGUAUAAUUGAAAAGAAAUCAGUAAUAACUAAUCAAACCCCAUUAGAGGAAUUCAGAAUCAAUUAUCACUUGACUAAACCUUUUUAAAAGAUGAAUUUCUCAUAUAUAAACUAGACAAAUCAAACAAAAGGGGUCGUCAUGUUAGAAAAAAGUCUACUAUUGAAUGGUUCAGAAUCAUGAGUAAAGGGAUACAAGUUUAUUUUGUAGACUCAAAGUAUGUCCAAGAGUCCAGGGAUUCAAUGCAGAACCCUAGUCCAAACAUCAAAUAAAAUUCACCAAAAACAAACCCCAAAUCCUAGAGUUUUAAAUCGAAUCAGGCAUAAAGAUGAGAAGGCAAGUCAUUGAAACAGACUACAAAGGUUUGUUUUAGAGCCUCAAAACAAACAUAAUAGCAAGUUUGAAAAAACAAAGAAACAAAGAUGAUAUUAGAGCAUCGAAGAGAAUGUUUUAGAGAAGUUGGAUUUUAAUCAAGUGGUGCAAACUUAAGCAAAGUAGAUGGAAUAGGCUUAUCAAUAACACAAAUGGACACCAUUAGAGCAAAAAAAAAAAACUCAAUAGAAAAACACAUAGAGUAGAAUAAUACCGAAAUGUAUAGCAAAUGGCAUGUAGGAAAAAUAGUAAAGAUUAACAUACAAAUCUAGUCUUAGAGGCCCAGUAGAACACAAAGCAACAUGAGUAUCAUGUAUGGUAAAAAAAAUUAAAUGCAGAAGAACAACAUACAUGUAGUAAAAGGGAAACACAUGAGCAUGAUAUAGACAAACACACAUGAAGAAAAGAAGAAGUAUAAUCAGAAAACAUGUUUUUUGCAAAACCUUUCAAAAACCCUAAAUCGACGACAAGUGAUUUGGAAAAGGGAAAAUUUGGGGAAAAUACUUUGAAUUUCUAGUAGAACACAAAUACAUUAUAAAUCUAAUAAAACAAACAGAGAAAGAACCUUGGAUAGCUUAGGGUUUUAAAGAAAACUCUAGAAAUGAGAAUUUUUUUGAAAAGUCAGAUCCUGGGUCGAAGAAGUGAGGAAUCGGGCUUCUCGUGCUUGAAUGUGCCGGAGUAUGGCCGUAGAAGCCAUGGAAUCAAAAGAUCAGAGAAGAUUUGAAAGAGAACCAUCGAAGAUAAGCUUCAAAACCUUGAACACCUAAAGUCUAAUGGUUGAGAGGAGGAAGCAUAGACCAUCCAUGGCCACAGAAGCCAUGGAUUCUGGUGAAAGAGCGGUUAGAAAAGGUAGGAGAAGGCUAGGGUUCCAAACACCCUUGAGAGAUAAUUAGGAGUAGGAGUAUUCAAGAGCGACUGAUUAGGUGAAAAUGAGGAGGAUUAGGGUAGGUCGUUUGGAUUAAUUACAGGAGGGUAGAUUAUGACCGUUGAUUUUGGAGAUCAACGGUCAAGAUUAGAGAGGGUAGCGGGAAACAGGUCUGGUUCGGUUAAUUUAGUAUUUGGGCCAGUCCAAUUGAGAUUAUAACUGGGGUUAAAUGAGGGGUCAUUUGGGCAAAAAUGUAAAAGAAAUAAGGCUAGUAUUUAAAUAGCCACUUUUCCCCUUUUUAUUUCGUAAAAAUAGUACAUGAUUUUAGAAAAAAAUAAAUUGAAGGUUCUAAGUUAAUUAAUAGUAUAUAAAUAUAAGAUUAAAAAUACUUGAAUCAAAUUUGUAAUUAUAAACAUAAUUAAUUCUUAAAAUAGGCUAAUAUGGCAAUUAGGUGCAAUUUAAUCUUAAAAAUAAAUACUAAAAUAAUUUAUAAAAAUGUGUAAAAAUUACAUUUGUUAUAGUUGUGUAUAAAUACAAGGAAAAAAUAAAUUAAUAACCAAAAAUGAUAAUUUGAGGAAUAAUUAUUGGUUUUGUACUGUUAAAAUAAGGCAAUAAAUUGGAUUAAAAAUGUUUUAAAAUUAGAAAAAUAAUACAAUGCUAUGACAUGAUAAUAUAUAUACAUGCAUAUAUAUACUAUUUAAAGUAUUUUGUAUUUAAAAAUAAACAGCAAAAAAUUGGGUAUCAACAGCUGCCUCUCUUUACAUGGGAAGGAUGAAAGAGUUGUUGGGUAGAGAUAUGAUGGCCAAUUUGACCGAACGAAAUGAAUUGAAGAAUUUUGAACGAGAUGUGGUUUCAGAGAUGACUACAUAUCCCCGGUCUUACACGAAUCAAGCUAUUUGUAGUUUGGGAUCCAUCGCCGGAACAUGCUGAUUGGGAUCUUUUUAAAAAAUGGACGGGAUAUUAAGGUUAGGGUGGUGGUUAUGAGCUCGGCAGGGCUGCGAGAUCGCUCCUGUUGGGAUGGUUGUUGCUCGCCGAUUUUAGCUGCAAAUAAAAAAUAUGAUCGCAUAUAUUGUGCAUAAAUUUAAACGUGAUGCAAUUCUCGCUCCACUAUGAAUGUUAUCUUUGGAUGAUUAGGAUGACAUUCUCGGACCAUGAUGUACUUGACCAUGAAGCAUGUACUAGAGGAUUCAAAGGCUGUGAAAUUAUAUUCUCAACUAUGAAAAUGAUGCCUUCGAACAAUCAUGCCUUUGAAUAAUGAUAUGCAAAGAUAAAAUAGGGUCAUCAAGCCAUGGCAUGGGGUUCUCGGUCUAUGAAAAAGGUGGCUCCGAACAAUGAUGCCUUCGGGCAAUAUGGCAAACUUUUAGCCCAUGAAAUGGAAAAGGUGGCGAUCUUUUAGCCGAUGCAAGAUGUAAAUAAAAAGUGGCGGUAUUUCAGUUGUGCAAGAAAUGUAAAUAAAAUGGCGAUCUUUCUGCCAAUGCAGUAUUUAAAUGAAGUGGCGAUAUUUUAUCGGUGCAAGGAAAUUAAAUAAAAUGGUGAUCUUUCAGCCGAUGCAGGAUUUAAAGGAAGGGGCGAUAUUUCAAUAAUGCAAGAAAUAUGAGUAAAAUGGUGAUCUUUCAGCUGAUGCAGAUCGAGGUAGAGCUCAACCUCAUAAGAUAUAAAGGUAGCCUUCUGCAAUGUAGAAAAUGCAGACGGAGGUAGUGCAUAACCUCGGAAGGGAGAAAGGUAGCAUUAUGCAAUGCAGAAACUACAUAUGGAGGUACAGCUUAACCUCAGAAGGCAGAAAGGUAGCCUUAUGCAAUGGAGAAAAUGCAGAUGGAGGUAGAGCUUAACCUGAGAAGCUAGAAAGGUAGCCUUAUAUGCAAUGCAGAGAAGUUAAAGGUGAACAAUAGUAAAAUUCUUAGAUGAUGGCUUGAUGAUGAUAGCUGAUUGCGACAUUGCGAUUGCUGGGGAUGCCGUGUAAAGGUAGCAAAUUUGAAUAGCUGAUGGUUCUAAAGACCAUAUUGUGUAAAUGCAUUCGGUGAUUUGCAACUUGGGUGUCUUUAUCCAAAGAAACAUUGUGAGUUAUGUAAGGGGAAUGUUAGUUCGUAUUCACAUGAACUUUUAUUAUUAUGCUUGGCUCCAUAUUUUGUGGUAUUAUGUACCCUAGGGGUAGCACUGCUAAAAUAAAGCAAUUUUUAUAAUAAACAUGUGUGGUUUAGUAUCAUGUUAGAGUCAAAUAUGUUAUUGGAAAUCUUUUCAAAAUGAUUCACUGUGAUUUUGUCGGGGACACGAGCUUUGUUUAGAAUCUUCAUCAGGGCUUGUCAAUGCUCAUCUGAAUAGAUCAACAAUGAUAGUAGGGAAAUUUGAGUGGGAUUCUUUCUCAACUGUUCGACGAUCUGGUAAUCUGGUACCUUCAUUUUUCUAAAAAACUCAUCCAUAUCUUCUUCAAUGACUUGUUUCUGCACUUGAACUAGACUGUCUCUGAGUGUUUUAGCUUUCAUUAACUCUUCUGGAGCAAAGUAUCUCCCCAAAGUAGUUAAUCCUUAGGCCUUGUUAACUUACUCUCCCUUAUAGGUCACUAUCAUUCACCUAUAGUUCCAUGGGACGGUUUUGCUGUUAGCUACCGGCAGCUGGGUCAUAGGUUUGAUAAUGAUAGGGUCCGUGCGAGCACUCUCCACAAUUAUGACCGUCUUACUUGCUACCCCGAGCACGAUCACCUUUGCGUUUUAUUGAUUUCUACAAAAUCACUUGGGGUCCUCUUUUGAACUACCACAUCUUGCUUAUCAUUUGGCAUGUUCAACUUGUCUGCUGAUCCUUUGGCUAUUGAAAAGUUAGGUUUUGUGAAAACCGAGUCCUUGACUGACUUACUUUUACUAAAUUGGAUCAUCAUGACAGAUUGUGAAGGCUUCUUGGGCUUAUGAUAUUCGUGCACUAUCUCUAUAAUGUGCAUUAUUUGCAUGGGUUGGUAAUGGGUUCUGAUUGAUGUUGCGUGCUUCUGGGCUCUGAACCACAAUUUGGUUCGUGUAAAUAAGCUCUUGGAUGGUGUUCGUCAGGUUCCAAUACCUUUUUGUGUCGUGCCCCAGUACAUCAGAGUAAUACACACAUCUUAAAUAAUAAUCAUGGUUCUUUGGAGGGCAAUUUAGUAGUUUUGACUCGAUUGGUCUCAGAAACGUCUAACUGCUUCAACCUUUGAAACAAUCUUGUAUAACAUUCCUAAAGGAGUUGAAUAUUUUUUUUCGAUGCAACCUUUAAUUCCUUAAAUCUGGGUUAUUCUGAAAGUUUGGACUACUAGGGUUUUGGUAUGUUAGUGGAUAUGGGUAAGGAUUUCGUGGAGCUUGUGCACACCACUACGGAUGGGGAGGGGGUUAGGCAUAUGAAUGUGCGUGAUGGACAUGAUAUUAUGGAUGCCUGACUGAACACCGACGCUCUGGUGGUGGGAAGUAGUGUUGAGGUUGAUUAAAAAUAGUAGGGGUAAAGGUUUGAAGCCGGGUCGAGGUUGGGUGUGGUAAGUAGGAGAACCCCCAGGGUUGUUCCACGAUCUUGAGACGACCAUAGCGACGUCCUCUUUCUUCUUUUUCCCUACCACACAUCUAAUUCCAAUCUUGAUUGCCUGCGUAUUUUCUUUGAUGGAAGAGUAGCUAAUGAUCUUGCUUCAGUUUUAGCCCUUCCUUCUAUAAUUCCUCCAGUUAUUACUACUUUAUUAAAAGAUUUACGUAUGGCCGAGAUCAUAUGGACAAAGUAAGUAGGCUCCAAAUCCUGAAAAAUGAAUUUCACCAUUUCAUCCUUCUCUAUUAGAGGGCUAACUCGUGCUGACUGUUCUCUCCAGUGGAAACCAUAUUCCCUAAAACUUUCACUAUUCUUUUUCUCUAUCUUAGUCAAAGAUAAUUGACCUUGAACAAUUUCUAUGUUGUAUUGGAAAUGUCAGGCGAACACUUGGGCCAAACCAUCCAAGGUAUACCAUUUGUUGUGAUCCUGACGAGUGUACCACUCAAAUGCUGCACCACUCAGACUCAGGCUAAAGUAUGCCAUUAAUAGCUCAUCUUUCCCAUUAGCUCCUCUCAUUUUGUUGGCAAAUCCCGUCAAGUGGGCCACGAGAUCUCCCUGCCUGUCAUACGUGUCAGAUUUGGGUAUUUUGAACCAACAGGUACCUGUGUGUUAGGAAAAAAACAUAGAUUUUUGUAGGUUACACUCACUUGGCCUCCCAACUCCAGCAUAUUUCUGAGUGACUUUUCCAAGAUUCUCACCUUCCUAAACAUCACCUCUUGUUCUGGGUUUUUAGGUUGUUUCUCUGUCUCGACAGGAAUGCCGAAAUGAGGAGUGUAGGAGUAAUGAUCUGGACUUUAAAGGUAGGCUAUAGGGGAUCGUACAUAUUAUCUUGGGAUUGGAAUAACGACUCAUUAGAAGAUUGAUGAAGCAUAGCUUGUAGAGGCGCUACGAGAACAGUGGUAGCUGGUGGACGGGGUAUGGGGUUGUUUUGGCUGGUGGAGCUUGUAUGGUUUGGGAAGUGGUGCCAUGAUAGUGGUGGUACGGGGUGAAGCUUUGUGCAUGUUGUGGGGAUGGAUCAACAGUGACACGCUUUUGAGAUUGAGCUAGUGGUGGGAUGAAAGCACGGUUGGUGGGGUAUGAUAGUGGAGGAUGCCCUUUCAUCCGUGCCUGGUACAUUUCGGCCAUUUGGUGCUUUAACUUAUGUAACUCCUCUUUCAAACUGGACUCAGGCUCCUCCACCUCUCGAGGUGGAUCAAUAAUACUUGUGUCCAAUUCUUGGCCAGCCAUGACCAACUUGUUUAUAGAGCAUGUGUUGUACUGGUGGGUUGCAAGAAUGCAAAACAAACUAACCACAAUCCUAUUCUCAAUGGAAACGACAAAUUUGUUAGUGUAUAAGAUUAAACAGAUUGGCAACCACACAUUUAUGAUGCAAUGUAGUGUAUUUGAUCGAUUUCAUUUUUCAUCCCAACUUUUAAUUAGCUAUUGUCAUUUUGCACUUUAUCUUCUCUCUUUUUUUUCCUUUUCACUCCAAACCCUCUUUAAUCACUAUUGGCCUUCCCCAAUUAUUUUUUUUAUUUCCUUUUUCUUUUGCACUCGUUUUCUCUCUAGUUUUGCCAUUAUUCUUUCCUCGCAAAUUUUCAUUAAUUUUCUCUGCUCUUUUUCCUUUUCAUUUUAUUGUUAUGAUCGAUCCCAUGGGGAUUACCUACGUAUCAUAGUACAACAUGAAUCAUAUCAUUACGUAGCUUAGGGGAUAAAUAAGAAAUAAAACAAAGACACAAUUUUUGAUUUUUUUUCGAAUAAAAUAAAAACAUUCUCGUUUUUUUUUACUAUUGCAAAGACUCCACCAUAUAGACUUAAACAUUUUUCAAAAAGUAAAAACAAGACUCAAAAUGAACUAAAAAACCCGAGAAAAAAAUUAUAAUACAUACUUGAAAAAAUAAAAUUAUGAAUACAUAAGUGGUUCCACUGCUACUCUUGUUGUUCUUGCUAGGGUCCUAUGCGCUGUAUCUUCUAGGAGGCGAAGCAGGUAAUCCAUAAUCUAUAGGAAAAAACCCAUAUUUGAAGUGAAGAAUAUAGACUGGGCCAUGUCUUCACACUCGUUGCACUGCAUCACAAUGUGGUCUGUUGUCCUCCUAACCCUCUCCCUGAUGAUACCCUUCUUUUGUAGAAACCGUCCAAUCUGCUGUGAUCUGGCCAAACUUGUUCAACGAUAUGAUUUUUCUCAUGAAGCUGUUGCAGGUAUUUUUCUAGCUGCGACGUUAGGGCAUAGCAAUGUUCCCUUUAUAUUUUGAAGUCUCUUGUGUGUUUGGUCAUUUUUUUCUUAAGUACAUUCACCUUUUUCUUAAGAUCCCCCAUUCCUUCGUCGUACUUCUCCUUCAGUUGUUGAACGAAACUUGCCCAUUCCCCAACUUUCUUAACUAACUUGGCUCAUGCCUUUACAAGUUCAUCUUCCGUCUUCUCUAACUCAAAUCCAUAAUCACAUACCCUUAGCCUAACCUUGUGUAUAAUUUUCUCAUCAUUUUCACUCCUGACAGGGUUCUCAGCUACUAUUUUUAUUUUUCCGAUUUGGGCUAGGAGGGCUUUAUUUUCUAAGGCCACCCUCCUCCUUUCACAUUCUGUUUCUUGUGGUUGGAGAUCAUUAUUUAGUUCCAUGUUCCUCAAUUUGUCUUCCAACGUGUGAAUGCCGCCUUGAUAUUUUUUCUCCAUUUCACCCCAGGGCAACCUUUCUUGAACAUUAUUAUCAAAAGCUUGAACAUGGGGUAUCUUGGUAGGCCUCUCAAGCUGGAGCCCGGGCUCUGGCUCGUUGUUUGCACAAGAUCUUUUGUCAAACCAUGUAGCAUAAUUAGGAUCCAUUCACCCCUCUACAAGCGCUGGUACCUAUGUGCCACUUUUGAAAUAUUGCAACCAUUCCAUUCCUGCCGAACUAAAGCUUCGGGCAAUAUAGCUUCUAGAGGUAGCUCAAUGACAUGGGCGGUUAGAUCUUCAUCUUUGGGCGAAACCUCAUAUCUUCCUAUCUGCCUUAAGACCCUCUAUGGUGCAUUUGGCUAAACACUCCUCAAACCCAUCAAUAUUUGGUAACCCUUGGUAUCCGUCAUGUAUAUGGCUUCUGUCAUCGGGAGCCAUCCUAUACCUCACUCAACCAGACUUGCUUUUAGAGCUUUCAAGCGGGAGACCCAGGCUUCAAACCCUUUCGGAGUAUUGUUUUCUUUCACCUUUUUCUCGUAGCUCUUGAUGAAGUUAUCUUUGCUCGAACUAUAGCUCAUAAAUUUUGGGUGAUGGCGGAGAUGCUCGAUCAACCACAUUUGUAGAAGGAUAUUGCAACCUUCAAAAAACUAGGCCCUAGAUUUGAACAAUGUAAAUGCUCGUUAAAUGUCUGCCAGCACUAACAGAGCAACAAUAUGAUCUUUCUCAGUGGUGAUGACUUGUGCAAUUUUGGUCAUACGAAUAUCUGCUGUCCCUUCUGCAUUGGACAAGACCAUAAAACCAAACCAACGAUGAAUUUUCUAGAUGCCCAUAUCUUGUUUGUUGUUCAAACCCUUUUCAUGCAUUUCAAACCCAGCUGAAUUCCCAAACCUGAAGUACAAGAAGUAGAACAACAACAUCCUUUAUUUGGAUGGGCCUUCUGCCUUUGCUUACUAAUAUUAAGGAGGUCAAAAACCCUGUGCACAGAGGGAGCCGUUGGUAAUAUAAGUAGUUGUUUCCUCAAUUCCUGACCAAACUCAAUAUACCCAGGCAUUUCCUCUAGAUUAAGGGAGAGCUCAAAAUCCGAGAAAUAGAAGACGUUGUAGACGGGGUCCCAGAAAUUUACCAAAGACUUGGUUAGAUCCGCCCAAGGUUAGAUUUCUAUAAUGUUUUAAGGGCACCCAACUGCUCUUUUACCCAGUCCCAUCCAUCUUCAUCUAGAGAAUUCCAACAUAUAUGUAGCUACAGGUGAGCCUGUUCUAUGACUAGUUGUGAUGGGUUCUGGGUAGUGUUCAUUGGAUCCAGUAGGAGGUUAUGUUUAGGGUUGACUCUGGUGGACCCUUUGUUAAACAUAUUUUAAUGUUCUAAAAAAAUAAUGGGAAAAGACUUCCCCCUGUGCUACUUUAACAAAAGUCGCCAUUUUGUCAAAUGUUGCCCUUCAACAAUUCCAAAUAGAUUGAGGCUAGGGAAAGGUACUUUAUGGAAAAAUGACACUUUACCGACAGUCUUAUCCAUUCGUUACGAAAAAUAGCCCUUCGACAACUGAAGAUACUCCAAGGCUAUCACUGCAAGAACUGCUUAAGGCAUAACGACGCUGGAUCAUCUUAUUCUUUUGACCAAAACCCUAGAGUACAUUUAUUUGACCAUUUACUCCUUUUUUUUGGAAAAUAAGGGCAAACCUUAUGUAGGUUACCUAUGUAUAUCAUAUCGAGUGAAAAUCAGGCCUGCGUUUUUUGGUCAAUUAUCACAUAUUUGAAAGAGACACGUUAUUGACUCAUUUUUAAAUGACACUUUUGCCUUGACUCUUUUUCCUUUUCUCUCUCUCUUUUUUUUUUGAAAAUUUUUGCCGAGUUUCAGGAUAUUUUGAAAUACCGAGGAUUUUCAAAAUCGGGCUUUCUUAUGUCCCGACAUCACUCUUGGUUUUUCUCUUAAUUUACUUUUCCUAGCCGAUCAACAUGCAAGUUGAAACAAUUAAAUGUUCACAUCGCACGAAGGAUGCAUCAGGAUGUUCUGGUAUUUUGGGUACACCUAUCCUAGACAGAUCCAACCCCUAAGUCAAAUGCACGUGAUGAAAGAAAAUCUUCCUAAUAGGGAUGUGGCAUGAAGUUUUAUUUUUCUAUGUUUAAACAUGUGGUUGUGUUCUUGACCUAGUGUACACUAGUGGACAACUCGAGCCGAAGAGGGAGACUAUGUACCAGAGCACCAAAGUCUACCCGGCCUUGUUGCUGGCCUAACCUCAUUAUAUUUGGUAUGACUUCUACACAAAAAGCAGGCCACGCGAACCUGUGCACAAUUUUCAGAGGAUUCAUAGGGGUGGCGUAAAAACGGUUAUACAAUUCAAAUAAUAGUAAGAGGUAAAUAUACAACAAUUAGCACAUUGGAUCGAUAAAAUACAGUAAUAUCAAAAGUAAAUAAAGCUAAAAAUCAUAAAAUAGCUCGAAUUCCUAAACCAUGAACCAGAUAUUCUAGGAUUCGAUCCCAACGGAACCGCCAGUCCGGUCAUACCUCCUUUUUACUACCCUGGAAAGGGAUAUAAGGGAGUUUUUCUAAUUUAAGUGACAAUUAAAAUAAGAUUAUUUAUGUAACAAAACUAGAGUUGUCAAUUGGGAUAAUUUAUGGUGUCCUAAGUCACCGGUUUACAAUCUAGAAUCUAGGAAAUUUGACUCUAAUCACGGUCUGCGAACACAAAUAUCCAGGUAAGGAAAUUUGUUAACUCGGGAGAAGGUGUUAGGAAAUCUUGAGUUUCCUGGUUCUAGCACGGUCGCUUUGAUCAUACUGAGCUUAAUUAAAUUAUCUAAUUACUCAUUUUUAAACAUAUGUCCAUUUUCCUAUUUUAAUUAAGAAAUAACCUUGAAAACGGGUCACGCGCAUGUGUACCCAUUUGUUUAGCGUGUCAGCAAUCAUGUCAAACGAACGUGUCUACAAUUAGUAACGCUUUCUUAUUAAUAAGAACGUUUAGCCGAAGUUGCGUGAACGCAUACUUCGAUUUAUUUUAGGAUUGUAAUCAUGUCCCACGAAUGUGUACACUACCACGAUGGUUUAUUUAAUGUUCCAAAAGCAAGCUAAGAGUAUCAUUCUUAGAAUAGAAAUUAUAACACUUAAUAAGAGGGCCACAAGUGACUUAAUUAGGAUGACAGACCUCAAUUCAAAUAAAAGAGUUACAUUUACUUAGGACUAAGGGAUAUUACUACUUACAAAUGAAUUAAAAUUAAUGUAUAACUAUUAGCAAGAAGGUUUGGGGUACAUGCUAGGACCUUGAUUAUUUAAAGCCAAUCGGUUUGAAUUUAUACCCAAACAAAUUAUUGAAGAGAAAAACUAGUCUCAAUACGAACCCAGAAAUUUGGCGAGGUAGACGGCUGCCCCUUUCUAAGUGAGCCACAGUCCAGGCCCAAUCCAUUACUCACGAUAAGAUGUUUCUGGGGAGGAGUAAGAGCUUAGGGGUGUGGGGCCCGAAAUCAAGCCCAAAUAGAGGGGUGUUAAUAUCUGAGGCCUAUAGAAAACUGGCUGAGCCCAUCCAACUACAAUCAACAUGAGACAAUAUGAUAUGCAAGCCCCAAGUACACCAACAUCCAAAUAACCAUAUCAUACAUCUAAAAUAAACAUUGUUUUAUUAUCCAUGUUAGAAAAAUAAAUCUGGGAUUUAAAUUACUGAAUAAUUAUGCUAAAUUCACAAGUACAACUAUCCUAACAGCACGAAAAUCCUAAUCAAUUUAACUUGGAAAUAUAUAAUAGUCAUCAAACAUAUAACCUUUUCCACAAAUUAUAUCUCGUAAAGAGAGCUCUAAUAAUUAAGACUAGAUUCUAGAAGAAACUAAACAAACGGAAUCAUGACAUGAGCCAACCCUGCAUUGAGAAUCAACACCGACCUAUGUGUCAAACUAAAGAAAAAGAGAGUGAGUAUUUCAACAAUAGGAAGAAAACAGAAGCCAAGCAACAAAUCAACAGUAGGAUUCAACUUCUUUAAACCCUCUUUGGACCCAAAACACCAGAAACUCUAUGAAAAGGCUUUUAUGUACCCCAAGAAGAAAAUCAGGAAGCAAUUCGAGGAAGACUAAUGAAAGGAAUGCAGAGAAUUUAGGCUAUUUUUAAGGGUAUCAAUGUCUUAUUUAUUAAGCGAAAGAAUGGUCUAUGCAUAGCCUUUUAGGAAUGACAUGUGCUACCGAAAACAAUAUGAGAAUUAUUCCUUCUCAUCUUUCCAAACAGAAUUGGGACAACUAGCAGACUUUGAUUUGCUCCAACAUUUAUGCUAGCAAAAAUUGGACCAGUUGCCCCAAAUUCAGAGGAUUUCCUUCAUCAAAUGUGAUUUACUAUUUCUAAAUUAACCUAUAGAUUACUGAGUAUUGCAAUUCUUACCUACACUCUGAUUUCAAUUCAACUCUAUCUAUCUUAAGGACUUCUAGAAAGAACCAAGUGAUUCAGUUGCCUUAUUUUGCAAACCUACGGUAUUGGAUUUUAUUUUUAUAAAAUUGAACUAAGGUUUAGGUUUCAAUUUAGGGGUUAAAACCAAAUUAAAAAUUUAGCCAGCUAAUCCUAAAUAGCAAACAAAUUCCAGAAUGCUAGAUGCAAAGAAGCAUAAAAAUCAAAGCUGACUUAUUUCACCUAAGAAAAAUUGAAUCAAGGUAAAGCUAAAACAAUCACCUAUCAGCUAAAUAUUCAAUUGAUUUAACCUUUAAAACUAUCCUAAUUACCUGAACUGACACCGAAAAAACUUGCAUGAAAAAAAUAUGAAAGGAAAACCAAAGCAAACGGAUCAUCAGUACCAAAAUGUUAAAACUGAUUAAAUUUGAAUCUAGGCAAAAAGUAAAUUCCUAAUGAUGAAAUCCAAAGGCGUGCCAUUAACAGUCGAAGAAAAGAAGAUAAAACCUAAAUCAAACAGCUAAUUCAGGAACAAUUAACAUGAAAUGGAAUCAAACAAAAAGAAGGAAAAAUAAAGAAAAGGUAAAAGAAGUUACCAAACAGGACCAAUCAAGACGAAUCUUGGCCAACCUUUGAAAGGGUAAAAUGAACAUGAAGCUGUCAUUAACCGGCUGUUCUCAAUAAGAAUAGUUGAGAAUUUAAAUAUUAGGGUUCAAAUGACUAGGUUCUGACAAGACGACCAAAAUGGGUGCUAGAUUAGGGUUCAAUGGAUUCCAUAUUUGAAAUUGGAUGAAAUUUAGCUGCGGCUUUCGGCAAAUUAAUUGUAGUUUAGGUUUCAGGGGGUUGUGAGAAAUAUGAGGUGUGAUAUUGGGGCCAUUUGGGAGAUUUAGGUUUUCAGGAUUCCCAUCAUAGAUCUAAAUAUUCCAAGGGGUUGAUAAUGAUUUGGGGAAAAAUGGAUAAGAGAGUAGGAAAACUGAUGUGACACAAUUUAUGGGGUGUUAAUUCGAGGGUGUUUGGGUCACCGAAACCACCGUGAGGUGAUUUUAUGAGGUUGUUGGCGGCAGAGAGAGCGGGGUUUUUAGGGCAGUUGUCUUUAGGGUUUGUUUAGGCCAGAUGAAGGUGAGGGUUAGGGUUCGAGGAGGGGGGUGGCAAGCCUUCUGACGGUUUUAUAUUNN